rnacentral:rRNA from 1 species
GUGGGGAAUCUUGCGCAAUGGGCGAAAGCCUGACGCAGCCAUGCCGCGUGGAUGAUGAAGGUCUUAGGAUUGUAAAAUCCUUUCACCGGUGAAGAUAAUGACUGUAGCCGGAGAAGAAGCCCCGGCUAACUUCGUGCCAGCAGCCGCGGUAAUACGAAGGGGGCUAGCGUUGCUCGGACUUACUGGGCGUAAAGGGAGCGUAGGCGGACAUUUAAGUCAGGGGUGAAAUCCCGAGGCUCAACCUCGGAACUGCCUUUGAUACUGGGUGUCUUGAGUGUGAGAGAGGUGAGUGGAACUCCGAGUGUAGAGGUGAAAUUCGUAGAUAUUCGGAAGAACACCAGUGGCGAAUGCGACUCACUGGCUCAUUACUGACGCUGAGGCUCGAAAGCGUGGGGAGCAAACAGGAUUAGAAACCCCUGUAGUCC